GUGUAAGAUGAGAGAACAUAUAUACUAAAAAAGAAUGGUACAAAGAAGAUUAGCACAGUCUUUACACAAAGAUGACAUGCAAAUUUGUGGAGUAUUGCAUAUUUUU